rnacentral:rRNA from 1 species
GACGAACGCUGGCGGCGUGCUUAACACAUGCAAGUCGAACGGAAAGGCCCUGCUUUUGUGGGGUGCUCGAGUGGCGAACGGGUGAGUAACACGUGAGUAACCUGCCCUUGACUUUGGGAUAACUUCAGGAAACUGGGGCUAAUACCGGAUAGGAGCUCCUGCUGCAUGGUGGGGGUUGGAAAGUUUCGGCGGUUGGGGAUGGACUCGCGGCUUAUCAGCUUGUUGGUUGGGUAGUGGCUUACCAAGGCUUUGACGGGUAGCCGGCCUGAGAGGGUGACCGGCCACAUUGGGACUGAGAUACGGCCCAGACUCCUCCGGGAGGCAGCAGUGGGGAAUAUUGCACAAUGGGCGGAAGCCUGAUGCAGCAACGCCGCGUGCGGGAUGACGGCCUUCGGGUUGUAAACCGCUUUCGCCUGUGACGAAGCGUGAGUGACGGUAAUGGGUAAAGAAGCACCGGCUAACUACGUG